GACGAACGCUGGCGGCGUGCUUAACACAUGCAAGUCGAACGGAAAGGCCCUGCUUUUGUGGUGUGCUCGAGUGGCGAACGUGUGAGUAACACGUGAGUAACCUGCCCUCGACUUUGGGAUAACUUCAGGAAACUGGGGCUAAUACCGGAUAGGAGCUCCUGCUGCAUGGUGGGGGAUGGAAAGUUUCGGCGGUGGGGGAUGGACUCGCGGCUUAUCAGCUUGGUGGUGGGGUAGUGGCUUACCAAGGCUUUGACGGGUAGCCGGCCUGAGAGGGUGACCGGCCACAUUGGGUCUGAGAUACGGCCCAGACUCCUACGGGAGGCAGCAGUGGGGAAUAUUGCACAAUGGGAGGAAGCCUGAUGCAGCAACGCCGCGUGCGGGAUGACGGCCUUCGGGUUGUAAACCGCUUUCGCCUGUGACGAAGCGUGAGUGACGGUAAUGGGUAAAGAAGCACCGGCUAACUACGUG
rnacentral:rRNA from 1 species